rnacentral:lncRNA from 1 species
AUUGUGGAGACUCGACAGUGUGGUGACAGCAAUCCAGAUGGUAAGUAGUUCUAGACAUUACAUUGUGACAGCAAUAAUACCUUAUGUUCAAUCCUUAAUAUUCAGAUUGGACCAUAUUUGGCCAUCAAGGGUUGUAGCCAAUGCUCAAUGAGUGGGGUUACACUCUCACAUUCAUCAUACUUCUGUCUAACCCAUAGCUCCCUUUUCCCUGCCAUUAUUAAGUAUAAUAUUGCCCCUUGGGUGUACAUUAUGUCUGUGUGGCGCACAACACAUGCUAAGCUGCCCUAAGAAUCAAAGCACUACCCCCAGGAUCUACUCCCACUCAGUUAGCUGUAGAUCCCUAAGUCCCAAAUUCACAAGUUAUAUGGAAGUGAAGUGAAAAUCUAUAUCACAUGCAUGGCUUGUAGGAUUGGUGAAAUGUUCAAACAUCGUGCUGAUGAAAGACUGUUCAUUCAGACACUGCAGGAGAAGUGUAGAAGCUUGGAUGCUGAUGACUUUUGGUCACGAUGGAUCCUGGACAUUCUUGAGUAGGCAUCAUAUCAGAAGGUCUCAUCAACUGUGGCUUCUGCUGCAACUCAUAAAUUGGCUCGACAACUAAAAUAGAUCCAUGUUGCAUGCUACAUUUCUCUUGAAGUAGUGGAAAUCCUGACUCUAUAUAUAUAUAUAUAUAUAUAUAUAUAUAUAUAUAUAUAUAUCAUAGAAUUGUAAAUGGGGGAGAAAAAAGAGGGCAAAGAGCAAGCCAGAGAACUCAACCUUUUGAAGAGAAAUCUGUAUAAAAAUGAGGACCAUUGGUGCCAGUUACUAAAAAAAAAAAAAAAAAAAAGGUGGCCUGUCAUGAUCUGAAGAUCUGUUACUAAAGCAAUGAGCAGGGAGCUGUUUUCUAGAAGAGUCUAUAACUCUAAUAUCUACAUUUCAUAAGCCUUCCUUGAGCUGUCUGAGAUAGUGACAGAGAUGCCUAGUCCACCAUAAAAGCUAGUGUUACUUGCUGUCACAGAUAUGCAGCUGGCUAAGUAGGCUUUUACCCCACUGCAUCCUUGAAAAAUUAAUCCAGGGGUUAUACUUUGAGCUCCAUGUAGUGUCUGCCAGCAUCUUUAGUGUCUUCUCCAUUAAUCAGGACUUGUCUGGAAUUAAUGGUACCCAUGAAUGUGUUGGUGGGUGAAAUAUUACCCCAUCACCUUUGUAGCAAACCUUUUGCUCCACAAAAAGCAUUGGAAAUUCCAGAGAGCUAAUAUCUAUUUUCGCCCUCGAUAUCCAAAUACCGCAAUGAUUUACUAUGAUGUUAGCAAUUGGUUUUUGUUCUUCAAAUAAUCCUUUAAAAAAAAAAACAAAACAACUCCCUUGUUUCACUUGGUUGUAUGAAAAUUUUGGUUCUCCCACAUCAUUUUCCUUUGUUUAACUCAUGAAAAGGCCUGUUGCCUCCUUCAGCCAUGCAGAACUCCCAAGGUUACAGACUCAAAAAAGUGCAAUGGCAAGUGCAACACGGGGCAAAAUAUUACAGUUCUUUUUGCUCAGCAUGACUGCUUUUACAGCUUCCUUUAUGACUCUGAUUUUCUUGUAAUGCCCAGGUUGCUGUAGGAAUAGUGACCAGAUUGCUAGUCUCUGCCCUCAAUUUAGCCCAACCUCAUACGUGCUUAAAAGAAGAAGGAAAUUCUCAGAGGAGGAAGAAAAAGAAAAGUCUGGGGAAUGCAUGAGCUGUUUUGCAUUACACAUGCUAUAUAGAUUAUCCUCAACAGGCAAGAAUAAGCCCACAAGAUGGGAUGUGCAUUUGAAUGGAAUAAAAACUCCAUCUUGGCAACUUUCCAUGGGGCAAAACUGCAGUUCUCUCCCCAAAUGAUAUCACUUCCUUCAAAAAUGAUGAUAACGAUCUCCUGCUAGUGCAGCUACAUUUCUCUGAUAUUGCUGCUGGCCUGCUCUAUCCCAACACCAUCUCAGGAAGCAGCAGUGACAUCAGUGCUGGGAGCCCAGGUUUACAGCAGUGCCUCUCCCUAGUGAGCACCCAUGCCAAUAAGCACACACCAAAAUAAGUAGAAAUGUACAAUUUUGGAUAGCAUGCGUUUAGAAAUGUGUAUGUUGUGAUAGGAGCCAUUUAAAUACUUUAUUUUGUGAUAAGAAAGCACAUUUUUGUGUGUGUGGAUUAAGACAUUUUCAAAUGUGAAAACAGGAUGGAAUGGACUUAUGCAAGACUGAAUACAUGCAAGACUGACUUGGACUGGAAAUGUACCAAUCCAUCCACAAUCAUUGUACUGUGUUUUGAUUUCCCAUGUACUUUGUUCUGUUUUUCUUGUACUCUGCCCUGGAAUGCAUUGGAUGAGGGCAGCUUAGAAAUAUUUUACAUAUAAAUGAAUACAUGACCCAUCUCACAGGCCUCUUGUACGGAUGUGUGGCAAGGCAUAUACAGUGGUACCUUGGUUUUUGAACGUAAUCCAUUCUGAAAGACCAUUCAACUUCUGAAACGUUUGAAAACCGAGAAGCAAUGGUCGGCAGAAAAUUGAGAAAAAUGCAGUGGUACACUCAGUGGACGCCGUUCGACUUCCGAGGAGCAUUUGAAAAAGGAAGCAUUUACUUCCGGGUUUUUGGUGUUUGGGUUCUGAAAAGUUCGGCAACGGAGACAUCUGAAAACCAAGGUUCUGUAUUUUGAAUAAAACAUUUUAUAUACUAAAAAAAGAGAUGCAUUGCUAAUAAUGCAUAACAGCAAACAUUCUACAGUGGUACCUCGGGUUACAGAUGCUUCAGAUUACAGACUCUGCUAACCCAGAAAUAGUACCUUGAGUUAAGAACUUUGCUUCAGGAUGAGAACAGAAAUAGCGCGGUGGCAGCGGGAGGCCCCAUUAGCUAAAGUGGUACUUUAAGAACAGUUAAGAACAGUUUCAGGUUAAGAACGGACCUCCAGAACGAUUUAAGUUCUCAACCUGAGGUACCACUGUAUAUAGCAUAAGAUACAGCAGAUCUUAUUGGGACGCGGGUGGCGUUGUGGGUUAAACCACAGAGCCUAGGACUUGCUGAUCAGAAGGUCGGCAGUUCGAAUCCCCGCAACAGGGUGAGCUCCCGUUGCUCGGUCCCUGCUCCUGCCAACCUAGCAGUUCAAAAGCACAUCAAAGUGCAAGUAGAUAAAUAGGUAUCGCUGUGGUGGAAAGGUAAACGGCGUUUCCAUGUGCUGCUCUGGUUCGCCAGAAGCGGUUUAGUCAUGUUGGCCACAUGACCCGGAAGCUGUACGCCGGCUCCCUCAGCCAAUAAAGCGAGAUGAGCGCCGCAACCCCAGAGUCGGUCACAACUGGAUCUAAUGGUCAGGGGCCCCCUUUACCUUUACAGCAGAUCUUAUGUUUGCAUUUUUUUCUGAGAAAUCGGAAAUGAAUUUGGUAAAGGAAUGUAAGAGGAGUUCUGCUGGAUCAGGCCAUGGGACCAUCUAGUCCAGCAACAUGUUCUCACAACAGCUGCCCAGAUGCCCAUGAGAAGCCUGCAAACAGGACCUGAAUGCAGCAAUACUCCGUUAAAAAAAAAGCUAGUAAAAAAGAAGGACACCUGUGUUAACAUCAGCAGAAUUAUGGAGCAGCAAACACACUCACAUUUUGAGAAAUGUAUUUGUGCACAUUUUUGGACUCAGCUCAUUUUUGCAAGGGAGAGUUACCUUACUUAGAGGAGGAGAAUAUUGUAAAAAAUAGGGAAAUGGUGGGAUUACAGUUUCUCCUCCACAAUUAAAAAAAAUCACAAGAUACAGAUGUUAAAUGAUUUACAAGCCUUUUAAAACACACAGAGAGAUAUCUUUGCUGCUUAUUUAUUUGAUAAAUAUUUUUAAGUUUGAAUAAAUAUAGUUGGGUACAACAGUUUUUUAUAAAACAAAGAGCAUAUGUCAUACAGGGAUGUAGGACCUUCUGGUAUCUAUAAAGAAGUUAACAAGAGAUUUACCUUCUCAUCCCACCUUCCAUAGUUUCACCUUCAACUCAUCCCUCCACCCCACUGAGGAGAUCACCAGCACCAGCUCUUUGUACCCUUCUCUUGCUAGGCUCUAGCGUAAGUGGCUGAAUUGCUUGAAGCACAUAAAUUGUGUGCUAAGGUCAUCUUUAUUAGUUGCUUCUGCUUACUUAGGAAGUGGCCCAUCAAUCAGCAUUUGUGAGUCUGACUCAGACUAUUCCCUAGUACUGCUGGCACACAGUGAUAUACAACUCUUCAGGAAGUCCACAGGUGGACUCAUAUGACUGGACUGGGGCUUCUUUUAAAUAUUGAGGUGAGUCCUGCUGCCCCAGCGCCUCUGAAUGUAAACUUGCACACAUCUUUGUAGUCCUAUGAAUGGUUUGAUGUAUUUUCAGACUGUAGGCUGGCUGAUACAGAGAUAGCUUUAAAAAUGCUAGAUAUGAACAUGUACUGAAUAAUUCACAAGGUGCACAGAUGCAUAGACGUAAGUGCUUAAUUUACAAAUCAAAAGGUACGGGAUAUCAAUCAACCAUGCCCACUUGUCCUAGACCACCUUGAAUGUAGUUAAACAGUAGGGAGGGAAAGAUCCUUUUCAUAUGGUCUAAGGUGCUCUUUCUAUCAUUUCGUCACACGUCAGGGACGUGCAUGGCUUAAAUUUUCUUGCUUCUGUGGGGUUUCUAUUGGAACAUCCUUAGGGCAGGGUUCUGUCUUUUCCCACAUGCCAGUCUGAAAAGUGUCAUGCACAACUAAUGCACAACCAUUUAAAAAUCACUUGUGAUGCUUCUGAAUUGGUUGGCAUCUGUCUGUCUCAGGAGACCAUGAAGGAGUGUGCAUUUGGGGGGUGAAGUCAAACUGUUGACAGAUUACAGUGCCUGUUGUGGCUGUAGAGACCAAUAUGGGAGGAGCAUGUUUUGUUGCAGCUGGGGCAGAUGAGGAAGUCCAGUUGUGCUUCAGCAGAUGCAUCGUGGCAUUUCUUCUCUCUGCACUCCUCCCAGUAGUCAUUCCUCCUCUGGUCACUGCUAUGGAUGCAUGAUCUCAUUGUCUGUCUCCAGACACUAUGGUCAUCUACAAGAGAUUCCCACAUGGUGUGGUUGAUGUUGCCACCUUUCAAGUCAUGCUUGCAGGCAUCUUUUAAAAUGUGUUUGAACAACCCCUGGUCUGAGGGCUGCAUGCAACUCUUGUGGGUCUUCCUGUGCUCCCGCUUCCUCUGAAUGUCCCCUAUUGCCAAUUUCUCCAUCACUGAAUAUCACAGCAUGGUUGUGAUGGAGAGUGAAAUUGUGAUGGAGAAGAUGAUGCACAAGAAAGUUCAUCCCUGCAUCUCAUCCUGAAUAUGACCCCUCUGUUUUCAAAAACCAAGUCCCUUAAACUUAAAGAUACCUGGAAGCCCCACAUGACUGCGUGCCACAAGACGACUAAGAAAUUCACCUCCAGUUGUGUGUAAAUUUGCAUUAAGGACUAAAACUGAAGUUAAGAAUUGUUAUAGAUGCCCAUGAAGAGUUUAAAAGAAACGUUAGAGGAUAACUAUAGUAUUGUCAGAUCAAUGAUACUCUUUUUUCUUCAUUUCAUCUACAAAAGAUAUCACACUAGAAAUUAGCCCAAGGCGAGCAACGUACGAUUCUAAUAGACAUUUUGAUUUUGUCUUUAUACCUAAUUUUAUUUUACUAAAAAAAAAAAGACAGCUCAGUAGAAGUAUUUGUUGACUCAUAUUCACCAUCAAAAUUUGUGUACUGCUUGGAAGGACAUAUGCUAAUCUUGCUGUUGAUCCAUAUUUAGCUUUAAGGAAAGAGUCAAAAAUGUAUGAGACGACCUAGAUGAAAAUUAUAUGAUUGACGCUAAGACCAUUCUGGGAUGAAUCAGAAUGGUCUCCUGGUGAAUAGGCCUGUACUGAGUGGCUGCACCACAAGCCGUGAGAUGCAGAGGAUACCCAGUGAGGAAACUGGUGCAAUGCUAUACUUCCGGUUCCCAAGUGAAGGUCAGCUACUAGAAUGGUGGCUCAAAGAUGCCCUGAGCCAAAGGAGAAUCCCAGUGACCAUUGGGUGUUGCUAUUUCUACUUUUAGAAGGCAAGAGACUGAACCAAUCCAGCCUCACAUCUUGCAACCAAUCUACUUCUGAUACAUGACUGCAGAAACCUACCAGGAGAUAUAGAAAAGGUGUGCCAAUGGAAAAGGGACAUAUGCUAUGGGUUGAAGGACCCCUCAUUACCACUUCUAAUGCAAUUCUUAUCUUAUGAUCACACCCAGUGAUUACUCAAAAGAACGUGGCACAGAACAUGGGGUGGCAUGGGAGCCAACUCCUAGGGGCCAUGGGGGCUUCAGUUCCCACAAUAAAAUAUUUGAGGGGGCCGAGCCCACACAAAGUUGAUGGGCAUUCCCACUCGAAUGGUGUGUGUGCACUGCGUCACAUGAUUGAUUAUGCAGGAUGGGGCUUACCUGGGCCCCCACAAUAUUUUAUUCAGGUUGGCACCCCUGUUGGAUGGCAAUGGCAUUUCUUCAACAGAUACCCAUUAAAAGGAUGUGUGACUGGAGAACAAGUGUUGUGAAAAGUACCGGCAUGUAUAAACUUCUGCUUCAACCCACAACAUUAUUUAUUUAAAAAUUGUAUCACCCCCCCCCACGAAUCUUAGCAUAUGUAGAUGAUGUUAUAUGAUACCACAAUUUUGCUUAGGCCAAGGUACUUUAUGAUUUCUCAUUUCUAUGUCUCCUUUGACCACAGCUGAGCAUAAAGUGUGUAGGUGGUGCAGAGUCAGUUCUGCUAUUUAGCUAACUGUGGUGGCUGAAGGUACCAAGGCUACAGCCCUGUGGGAGUGGCAGGGCAGGGCAAGGCAGCAGUUUCCAUUUUGCCUCAAGUGGAAAAAUGAGAUGUGCCACCCCUGAGGGGUUGACUAUAUGCCGGCUACCCCACUACAUCCUUGUCCCCACCUGCACCAUGUAUGGGAAGGCCUGAAUGAGACGUCUAAGUACGUUCAGUUGAACAUACUUAGAAGCUAUCGGUUUUGCUGACAGUGAGGGGAAUGCCUUCAGACAAACACAAUUCAAAGCUUUCUUCUGGCCUUUCUGCUCAGCACAGGAAGACCAGGGUGGGGCAGCUGCAACUGACAUAUGUGGGGAUUAUAAGGGUGGGCCCCUCAUAUAUGCCCACUUCUCUGCAUGCCUGCUGAUUUAAAUGCAUGAAGAUGGGUCUAGGGUGAAUGUUAACAGCCUAGAAAUCUUGCUAAAGCCUUCCAGCAGGUUAGCAAUUUACCCAGAAGCAGAGAUUGGGAAGAUGAAAGUGUAAUAUGAUGGGAAAAUCUAUCAGUUUUGGUUUCUCUUAGUUUCUUGAAUUUCCAAUCUUAAAUUUAGUUUUCCACAUUUUCGUGUCAGUUUGUAUUUUUUUUAAGUCCUCGUGGAACUGUUAGUGCAUAUUUCUCCUAAUAUGCAUAUGUUUGUAUUCUAUUUCCCCUAAUAUUCACAUUUUUGCAAAGCAUUUCCCCCUAAUAUAAUGCAUUUUCUAUGUUAUAUGCAUUUCUGUGCACACCUUCCCCAAGUAUUUGCAUUUUUGAACACAUGACUUGGCUGGAGAACUACAUUGCAAAAUUCAGAGAAAUGUGAAUUUUUAUGGAUGGCUGUGUUUCAGUUAAUGUAUUAUUUCAGGAAGUGUGAAUGAAAAAGGUUUGCCUUUAAAUGCAAACUGAAUCUUAUUUCUCUCCAUCCUUAAGUGACAGAUGUUUAGUAAGGGCUUUAUUUGGGCAGAAAAAGAGAAAGAGGUAUCUGGGAAGCUUUCUGUGCCAUUUUUCAAUGGUUUGCUUUCAAAUAUUUCCUUCUAUCCCAUGAACACUUUGGCAUACAUUUCAGCUCAUCCACUUAAUGGGAAACAGGUCAGUGGUACUUAGCCAGUGCUGAAAGAAAUGCCCUACAUUUUGAUGGAUGGGUUCCUUCCCAUUCAUUGUGUUGAUGUGGGCCAUCUUCAAGUGUUUGCCAUUUCAGAUAGAUCUGAGCAGUGUGUCAAGAUCUGGUGCACCCGUGGCUUACAAUCACAUAUUUUUUCUUCCUUUUCAGUUACUGUCAAUGCUGCAGCUAUGCAAGAAAAUUCCUGAUGUCUCAAUCAGAAGAGUAGUGUCUUGCUGAGUUGUUCACAAACAGUCUCUUUGGAGCAACAUUUUUGGAAUAGCCUGUUUGUGACUGCUGUUAAUGUGGAUAUGAUGUGGUUCAGGGUGCCAUGUCUCCUCUCAUUUACAACAAACUCAGGAACUUUUAUGGGGAAUGAUCUCACUGUAGUUUUUCCUGCAAUCACAUUGUAGAAAACUGCUGAAUAGAAAUGACAUUAAGACUGGU